UACGUAGGGUGCAGGCGUUAAUCGGAGUUACUGGGCGUAAAGCGUGCGCAGGCGGUUUGCUAAGACAGGUGUGAAAUCCCCGGGCUUAACCUGGGAACUGCGCUUGUAACUGGCAAGCUAGAGUGUGGCAGAGGGGGGUGGAAUUCCACGUGUAGCAGUGAAAUGCGUAGAGAUGUGGAGGAACACCGAUGGCGAAGGCAGCCCCCUGGGCUAACACUGACGCUCAUGCACGAAAGCGUGGGGAGCAAACAGG
rnacentral:rRNA from 1 species